rnacentral:rRNA from 1 species
GACGAACGCUGGCGGCGUGCCUAACACAUGCAAGUCGAACGGACAGGCCCGGCUCUUGCGGCGCGCACGUGAGCGGAGCAGGUGAGAAAAACACGAGUAAAACCUCCUUGUCAUACGGAUAUCACCUCGGGAAAGGGGAUCAAAUCGGGUAUAAUAUUCUGAUCCACGGGGUUCGAAGGAAAAAGUCGGCGGUGGGGGAUGGACUCGCGGCUUAUCAGCUUGUUGGUGUGGUAGGGGCUGACCAAGGCUUUGACGGGUAGGCGGCCUGAGAGGGUGACCGGCCACAUUGGGACUGAGAGACGGCCCAGACUCCUACGGGAGGCAGCAGUGGGGAAUAUUGCACAAUGGGCGGAAGCCUGAUGCAGCAACGCCGCGUGCGGGAUGACGGCCUUCGGGUUGUAAACCGCUUUCGCCUGUGACGAAGCGUGAGUGACGGUAAUGGGUAAAGAAGCACCGGCUAACUACGUG